UACGGGGGGGGCAAGCGUUGUUCGGAAUUACUGGGCGUAAAGGGCUCGUAGGCGGCCAACUAAGUCAGACGUGAAAUCCCUCGGCUUAACCGGGGAACUGCAUCUGAUACUGGAUGGCUUGAGAUUGGGAGAGGGAUGCGGAAUUCCAGGUGUAGCGGUGAAAUGCGUAGAUAUCUGGAGGAACAUCAGUGGCGAAAGCGACUUCCUGGACCAAUACUGACGCUCAUGUGCGAAAGCGUGGGGAGCAAACAGG
rnacentral:rRNA from 1 species